rnacentral:lncRNA from 1 species
AUGUCUUCUUUGCACUUGCUUCAUUUCUUCAAGGACCAUUUUGAGCAGAGCCAGUUUGAGGAAAUAGCCAGGUCUCCAGCUGGGGGGAAGAAGCUGAAACCUAAUGCUAUCCCCACUCUGUUCAAUGUUGGAGAACCUCCCUACCCCGCAUUCACGGUUCCCUACAUCCUGCACCCUUUGAAACCUGAGCCAGUGGAGAAGGAGCUGAAUUUCGGGGACCAUGGCUAUGCGAGACGCACCCCUUUGCCUGGCCUGGAGGAGGAAGAUGUGGACAGAACAUCUGAAGAUCAGCAGCCUUGCACACAUUGCCAGCUGCUUAGGAAACAGCUGGAGCAGGAGAUGCAACACACUGCAAGGCUACAGAAAGAGGCUGAAGAGAUGAAGAAGCGUCUUUAUCGACUUGACCGGCUUGAAAAGGGUCUCCAGAACUUUCUGUAUGAGGACCAGAUCCGAGCCCUGUCACUCACCAAACGCUCCCGACGUGCUGUCUGGUCUCCAGAGACAAUCCUGAAAGCCCGGAAUAUCCGCUGUGCGGUUGGCACCAAGGGGUACGAGUACCUGAGAGAGAUUGGUUACCCGUUACCCUCCUAUAGGACUCUGUGUAACCGUUUGGAGACUAAGAUCAUGGUGACGACUGAUAUGAGCUGCGAGGAGCUAGCAGAGCUAGGCCUGGGGCUCAUGGCCACCUGCGACAGUCCCCCUGAAGUUGGAGAUAAUGAUGAGGAAGAACUGAUAGGUGUUUUGUCUUCUUAG